GAAGAGAAGGGACCCACCCCUGGUUCCGUAGCAAGCUUGCGGGGAGGGUCAACAGGAUCUCCUACGUUCCAAUGGAGGCGCUCCUGGACUCCCAAAGAGGACAGACACUUGAUGUCUCUCGUUUCCCCACAAAAGCCACAGAUCUGAUGCCUGCCAUGCCCGGUUCACCCCGCCGUGACAAGUCUCAGGGAACAGACAUGUUAGGACACUGUGAGGUCUGAUGGCCCUGCACAUGUGACAGGUAGACCCAGCCAGCCAGAGAGAUCACACCCCAAGGCCCAGAGGCAGGGGGCCAAGGGUGGGCAACUUGACAGUCAACAGGAAGGACCGGGGGCUGGGGGAGUAUGGUCCACCCGCUACACCCAUGAUGUCCACACUCCACAGCCUCACGGGUGUCUGUGCAGUGUGAUGCUAGCAGGGCAAGGACUGGAUAUGACUGGAGCCACGCCCCUUUCCUCAAUCUGCUAUUCCUAUGACUCUGUAUGAUGUCUUUCACUGUGUGCCACUUAUUUAAAUGUUGUGUUUGUGUGUGUGGUAUGCAUUUGCAAUUGUAUCUUUGUGUUGUGUUUCCGUGCAUUACGUUUGUGUGCAAUUUGCUGUUGGUGUACUCUGUUUCUCUUGUGCGCCUGUGUUACUGUGUUCUGGCUCCAUGCCUGUUUGUCUACUUUAUGUGUAUGUUUUGUUGUGUGUCCAUGCUGUGUACACGGUGUGUCUCUCCUAUGUAUCUAUGUCCAUACUCUGUAAUUGCCUCUUUAUUGUGUGUUGUGUCGUGUGUAUCAUGUGUUGUGAAUUUGUGUUUGUGCCGUGCGCGUUGUGGAUCUGUUUCUGUGUGUGCUCUCUACACCGCAAGUGCAGGAUGUUUGUGUGUUUCUGUCGUGCGAAUCCCGUUUGGGUUGUUCUAGGUCUGUGUCUACGCAGGGAGUCCGUGUGCGUCUGCACCUCCCGCUGUGUGUCUGUGCCAGCUGACGUCUGUGCCCUGCGCGCAGAGUUGUGUUUCCUCAACAAGUGUGUGCCGGCUCGGAGUGCCGCGCGCGCC